GAUGAACGCUGGCGGCGUGCCUAAUACAUGCAAGUCGAGCGAACAGACGAGGAGCUUGCUCCUCUGACGUUAGCGGCGGACGGGUGAGUAACACGUGGAUAACCUACCUAUAAGACUGGGAUAACUUCGGGAAACCGGAGCUAAUACCGGAUAAUAUAUUGAACCGCAUGGUUCAAUAGUGAAAGACGGUUUUGCUGUCACUUAUAGAUGGAUCCGCGCCGCAUUAGCUAGUUGGUAAGGUAACGGCUUACCAAGGCAACGAUGCGUAGCCGACCUGAGAGGGUGAUCGGCCACACUGGAACUUAGACACGGUCAAGACUCCUACGGGAGGCAGCAGUAGGGAAUCUUCCGCAAUGGGCGAAAGCCUGACGGAGCAACGCCGCGUGAGUGAUGAAGGUCUUCGGAUCGUAAAACUCUGUUAUUAGGGAAGAACAAAUGUGUAAGUAACUAUGCACGUCUUGACGGUACCUAAUCAGAAAGCCACGGCUAACUACGUG
rnacentral:rRNA from 1 species